AAAUCUUUGCUAAUGUUUAAAUUUAAAGAAAUGUUUGGACCACUAAUGUGAGAGGUGAGUUUACUGAUUAAAAGUUGUUUUUCUUAUUAUUUCUUCAGAUACGAUGAAAAUGAAGGCACUUUUCAUUUGUCUGGUUGCCUUACUCUUCAUAAAUUACAGUGAGGCUUUGUGGUGUUAUGGAUGUGUUGGAAAAGGCUGUUCAGGUAGAAGAGAGGAAUGUGGCUCUCUUCUGCAAAAUCCUGUCUGCGCCAUCGUAGAUGCCCCCACCAUUUAUAUGAAAGGCUGCAUGAGUGAGUACAUCUGUAGGCAGCAACAGCAGGCUCCUGGUACCACUGCUGUCUGCUGCAGUACCAACUACUGCAACUAAUAAGGAGGACAUCAGCCGUGGAGAUGUCUCUAUAUGACCAUCACUAGCCAAGGAUAUAAAAUCAUUUACAGUAAUUAUUUACAUUUCAGGCAUGUGAUGUAUUAUUUGGUUCGUUUUGUUAAAUAAUGAGAAUGGGAAUUAUCAUUUCAAUUAAAUAAAAGAAUUAACCACA